AACAACAACAAGAAAUUCAAAAUGCAUAACAGCUAAAAUUGCAUUUGUUGUCAUUUUGGAUAUAAAUAUGGUUUCAAAAUAAGCAUUUCCACCCUCUCAACACCCCAGUUCUUCAUUAAUGAUAUUGUUUUCCUGACUUUCCUCACCACAGAGCUUGAUAGAAUGUUCGUAGCACAGAGCUUCUCCUAUUGUAAAGUUUGCCAAGGAAAUUUCUGAAUAUGUGAACCACAAUGUCAUUGUUGGGCAAGGUGCAGAAGUUGUUGUUGGCACUAGACAGGGUGUGGGGGCUGCAGGGACCUCCCAGCACCGCUCAGGUCCUGCAUGGGCCACCUGGGUGCUCCUGUCUGAAGGCUUUUUGUAAGAAAAGAGCAAAAAACAGAUGUGGGUAGGAGCAGGUAACGGUGUGGUGAAGAAAUCAGAUGUUUGGAGGUUAAAGAAAUCUCGUAAUUGUUAUACUUGAGGAAGAUGUGAAAAAGUUCAGCACUUCCUUCCUAAUAUUUUCAAGAAAUGCAUUGAUAUGUGCUUUCUAGGAAGUGUAGGCCUAUUUUAGUUUUAAGCUGUAUUAUACACUAUGCCUAUGUUACUUAGGAGCAUUAAGUAAUUCUGAAUGUUCAAUCUGGCUCUUCAAUUUCAUAGAAAAAAUUGAAACUCUUUUUACUAUAGUCUUUGCUGUGGCCAUUGGUGAGAGGGGCAAGGAGUGGCCCAGGUGGGCAUCAGAAAGUCCUGUGGACACAAGGCCGCCGUUCUGAAUGACAGGCCUUCUCCUUGCUGAGGGACAUCUGUGUGAAGAGGAUUCAUCUCUCCAGUGAGGUUUUGUUCCUUUUUCUUCCUGAUGUCCCGUGGCAUUUUCCUCCUCGUUGCUGCUGAGGAACAUUUCCCAGCAAGGGAGGUCCUGUCACGCAGACGUGUGCUACCACGGGUUUGUUGUGCCCUUUGCUGGUGGCUGACAGGAAAAGGGCGUUAUUCGCAGAGCUCCGAUGUUCAGAACGUUCCUCUUCAAACUGCGAUAUAAUUACCGUGAUGACCAACGUUUGCGCGGCGCUUCAUUUCUGGGGGCAUCCAUUUUGUGACAGCUCCUUUCUAACAGUGUGUGCUGACAGGAACAGCUUGAGCUGUCCUCCGCAUCCUCCAGAAAUACCGGGCGCGUCUCGGGACGCUUUGUUAUAUGGCAUCUUUCCUACACCUCAAGGUGUGCCGUGGCCCUCACAGCUGACGAGCAGACGGUGAAUAACAGCAGCACCUGCCUUGCCCCUUCCUUCCCUUCUACCCUGCCAUGCAAGUCAGCCUGGGAGAUGGCUGCGUGCAGCAGCAAGGAGCUGGCCACCUGCAGCUCUCAUUGCUAUCUCUGUGAAUGGCCACGGACAGCCGUGACCACAGCCUCCCCUACAUGCACACUCAUUGCAAACACCAUGAAAGCUGUGGGUCGGCAGAGUAAUUAAACGUUGCAAAGCUCCCAUGUCUGUCCCCAUAGGGGUGGUACUGUGCUGCUUGACUGCUGCCUUCAGCCACGUGGGAGGUGCCAGUGUUAUUUCCUAAAAUAAUUGAUGUUAUUGUUGCUGGGAUAUUUUGUAAUCAAUCACUAUGGACAUUCUGUUGCACCAAUUUUUUGUGGUCUUUUGCAUUCUUUUUCUUGUAAUUAGCGUGCUCAGCUCAUUCCCAUGCUCAGCGUGUUGAUAACAAUAAGCUGCACGAAGAAAUACGUGAACCAAAGUGAUUCACAUGUAUAAAAGGAUCUCAAAUCCACCCACUUUAAGACCAGGUGCCCUUCCUUUGCUUCUUAUCUUAGAACAUUCUUCUAUGGCAGUAUUUUUCUAAUUGACUUUAUUAUGAUUUCCCUUCUUUUAUUCGAAGGGAAGUGAAAGUCAGGAUUUCUGUGGCUGCUGCUGAAAUCCUCAAAUUUUGUUGUGGUUGUUGAACCUGUAGCCCACCAAAAGUCACUGAACGGACAGCAAAGAUAUCCAUCUCCAUUUCUCUGGUCCAGCGAGCAACUAAUCGUGAACAGAUAGGAAUGGUCAAUACCUGAGUGCUGCAGGUGAAUAGAGUCCUGCAUGGGCCCUAUCCUAGGAACACAUUUAAUUUGAUUCUCUUAGGACAUCCUACUAUAAAAUUAAUGAGAUGGAGUCUUCCGAAGACUAUUUCCCAGUUUGCUGCCACUGUAGGACAGGGUUGAAUAAGACAUAGUUUUACUGGCUCAAAGAAAUUUCAAGUAAACAGAUGCAAAUGUUAGAAACGAAAUCAAAACAUUGCAAUGAUCCUAAUUAUGGAAAUAAAUAAAAGCUCUGCUAAGAGAAAUGUACUAUUGCAAAAUAAAUGAUAGACUGCAAGACAAAUCGCAGUCAGAAGCGAACACAAAGAACUCUAUACUAUAGAAAACCUGUUUGAAAUGAUAAUCUCAAAUCGUUUAGGCACUUCAUUUAUAAAUGCUUGCUGUUUUCAGGCACUUCUAAAAAAUGCCUGAAGUUCCUUGCUAUUUCACAAAAUCAUUGGCUUCAUGUUGUACCUGUAGCAUACAUAGCCCAUAUGUUUGUUGUAAUAGUCUCUCUGCCAUGGAACAUAAAUCCUUUUCAGGGGCUAAACACAGUAUCAGUUAUUAUUUUUUGGCUUAACACAGAAUAAAAGAAUUGUGCAAAGUUCUAAAAUCUUAAUUGCUGAUAGAUUUUCCUACAGGCAAAGGCAGACAAGGGAACACAGAGAGAUUUCCUUCAGCAUCCCCCAGGGCAAGAGCAUCACCAGGUUUUUUGAAGGGCGUUUCAGCCCAAGCACUUUUCUUCUCUCCAGGCAGUAAGUACAACAGGAGAGGGGAACAACUGAUGUGAUGCAAAAGGAACCUGUGACAUUUUCAGGUUUUUAACCGGCAUCCAGAAUUGUCUCCAGAAACUCCUGUUGCCAUUGACCCGCAAGCCCAAGCUGCCUACAAAUUGACAUGGACUGCUUCUGUAUUAUUGCUUUACAUUUCACUGCCUCGCUCCCUCUGAUAAACGUGUGGAGAAGUUUAUUUGCAGAAAGGCUGAGAAAGAAAAGUGGUUAUAUAUAAAAAAAAAUAAGGUUUGUCCACAAUGCGCGGUUGUCUUUUAUCUGGUUACUUGACAUUCUGGUCAUUGGCUGGCUGAGCUUCAUCACAAAAUGUUUCAUAGUGAAAACAGAGAAUUUCUAUCCAACUUCCCAGAUUAUUUUUUCACUCUUUGACUUGGGAUAUGAUACUCUUGGGGAAAAAGUCAUUAUCUCCCCGGCACUGGAAAAGCAUUUUCAUGGCUCUUUCAGGUGACUUUUUGUCUUCUGGAGGAAUGGAGCUCUUGCGGAGUAUUUCAGCUUUUGCCUUUGGGAGAAUCAAAGCCGUUUGACCCUUGUGCAGCAGCAGAAGUGUGUGAGAGCAGCUCUGCAUGCUGCUGUGCAGCUCCAAGCUGUGCUCCUCUCCUUUUCUGCAGCUUUUUAAGCUGCCUACAGGGUACGGAGCAUUCCAAGCCUGUGACCUAAAUUAUGAGCAGAAGAUAUUAAGCCUGGAUUUUAACUUAAGAGCUGACUACACCCACAGGACAAAUUAAAACACAGUGUUGUUUUUCCACUGAAGGUAAGCAAGCAGUGAAAUUAUACUGGAUUCUUUAUUUAAACUGCUGCCAGAAGUACGAAGUUGUGAGCGAUUGCCCAUUCCUCAUCCUUGCUCUUUCUCCUCUAAGCCCCCGCAAUGGUUGGACACAGCAUAGAACCACAGAAUCAUACAGGAUGGAAAAGAUGGCUCAGGGCAUUACCAUAGCCCUGGUUUGGCUUGUUGGCUUGUGAUGUUGUGAUAAAAUGCCAUCUAACCUUAUUUCCUUACUCCUCUCUGCUUGCCAUUAAAACUGUUGUUCCCCAAACUAGCAUUUGCCAUCUCCUACUGGUUCUUUUCAGUAGCUGGAAUUCCUUCACCAUAAAUUCUGUUGGAUUUUGUGUGUGCUGGCAUGAAUAUUGGAGUGCCCAACCAUUUAUCUGUGCUGGGUUUGCAGCUACCUGGCUGCUACCGGUGGUGACUUCUGUAAGUACUGAAUAUAUUUUUUCUUGAAAUCCUUUUAAAAAAAAUCCAAAUUUGCAAAUAAGAUUCUAAAUAAAUAUUCCCAGUCUUUAAAUAACCCCAUCUCCUUCCAUUAUAGGUCUCUCUGGGCCAGGUCUUCAACUGCUCUUACUAUACUAGUGGAUUUAAACCUUCUGUCCUUUGGUGGAAAGUGAGGUGCUUUAACUGCAAUCCCCCUUGACUCUUCUGGGGAAGAUUUGGUUCAUGUUGCACAAUGAAGCAUUUCAUAUUGGGCUCAGCACUGUGAAAUUUCAGCUAAUACCACAAAAGAGUUAAUUGAUUGUUGCGGGUUCCAAUCUAAGUUUAUCCCGUGUCAGGAUUUUCUCCCCAUAGACAAGGUGAUAAUCUUGUAUCUGAAGGCAAAUAUAUAAAAUGCGUUUUAGUGAUUCCAUGGAGUCGUUUCCCAGGCAACUGUAACAUCUCCAUCUGCAGCGGGGUGCGGGCUUUGCCUGGCCAGCUGCCCUCGUGCAGGGGAGUCUGCUUCCAGCCAGCGCCCCUGGCCAGGCCCCGUGCAGGGCAAGAAUGCAGAAUGGUUUGGGUUGGUUUGGGAAGUUUCCCCUUGAAGCUAAAUUCACUUGUGGGCCCGAUAUCCUCCGAUAUGGCUGCUUGGGUUGGAAAGAUGCAUAGCGUGGUUACGAGCUGCCACAUCACACCAACUGGGUGAUAGCUUCUGAGAGCACCAUGCGAUGUGUACCCCAGUGCAGUGAGAGUGGGUGAGCCAGGAGCUGCCCCAUCCAAGGAGAAAUGCUGGUGGUGCAAGAGAAGAGGAUUCCUCCGUAGCUCUGAAGUCAGAAAGGUGAGAAUCAAAAGACCACUUUAUACAGGGCAAUACCCGUAGUAAAUACAUUUUCCUACUGUGCUGCCUUCAUUCCUGCAGAAUGGGACUGACCUCAAAAGGACACUGGAGAGCAUGAAGUGUGCAUGAACAGUGUGUGCUCUUCUUUGAAACCCAUCUCGACCCCUGUCAGUGGGUCUAUGGGAGAGGCUGUAGGUCAGAAAAUAGCCCUGGGAAAUUCAAAGCUAUCAGACUCUGUGUUGCCCAUCUCUGACUUUUGGAACAGAAAUAGCCAGAUUAUGCCUUGUGAGAUCUGCAGGGAUUGUAAAGCAGUUUGGCGUGGCUGAAGAUCACGGUGUGUAAUUUUGUUUAGAAACUCAUGCUUUGACUCUGAGAUGUGCACCAAGUAGGCACAGUAGUGCUGAACUGUGAAUCAUUCCAGAUAAGGGAAAUCUUUGGGUUGCACUCCUGGUCACGUCUUUGAUGUGCAGUUAUCAGUAUCCAAGCUAGCCUGGUAUGCCCGCAGUAUAGAUGUGCCCUAAGGCCAGGAGCUUCAGCACUUUCAAAAGAGCAUGUGUUGAGAGCCUCUGCCCUUAUAUCAGAACCUUGCAAAGAGCUGAAUCACGGUAUUUUUAGCUCCUGUCCUCUUGGCUUAGAUGAUACUGAUCUUACGAAAUAUGGCAAUGCGGAGAGCAGUAGGGUUAUUUGAGUUUCAAGGGAUCUUUUACAUGUACUGAAGUCCUGCUGUUCCUGCUGCGAUAAAGAGACUGGGAACUGAGUGAGCUUCUCUUUCUUUGUCGCUUGUUUAUAAUUUGUUGUACAAGUGUGGAGAACCUCAGAUCUCUUGAAGUGAUAGGAGGGCAGGCCCAGGCUGGGGUCUGGAGCCCAGUGCUGGAUCCCUGUGUUGACAGAAGUAUCACCUCGUCCCCUCGCACUCUCCUACUUCCAUAAACCCUGCUGAGAUGUCCUACCACACUCGUGUUAUUGUCCAGUGUUCAGGACCAGGUGAGUAAUGUGCAUGGUGCUACCGUGAAGUGUUAGCUCAGGUGUGCUCCUUCCUGUCGUGUAGUUGAGUCCUUUGGGUGCCCUUUGCUUUUUGCUGUUAAAAAGAGGCUUUAAGCCCCUUUGAAAGUUAUACCCCGCGUCUCUUCACUCUUCAUGGCUAGGACUCACUCACUCUUUACUGAAAGUGCAAUAUUGAAGUCCAUCAGAAAAUUUUUUCAGUGUACUUGUGUGAUGGGAAUUGGGUUUAAAAGCAUGAAGUGGAACUACUCAAAUGAAAGAACUGGCUGUCAGCAGGAAGACUCUUUGGAAGGAAAAGAGUCAUGGGGAUUUUCUGUGGACUACCUGGUUGCUUCUGAGAGUCAGCGCAGCAUCACACUGAAUUGAGCAAUGGUUCUGUUAAUGCACUGUGUCUUCAACACUUUUUCUGUAGGGAGUAGCUGGAGAAUACCCCAUGUCUUGUCCUCAGAGAAUAAUCCUAGUCCUCAUCACUUUUGGCCUUUCCUAUUUUCUGGAGAGCAAAGUUGUAUCUCCUUUCCAAUUAUUGGAUUCUGUGUUUACUCUUGAUUAAAAAUUAACAGUUGAUUACUUCUAAUGUUAGCAGCUGUGGUGGGAGGAACGUGUGUGAAACAAACAUGAAGACUGAUGUUAAAAGGAGAGGGGUUGAUGGGCUAGAUGCUAUCUACAAGCAAUAGAAAAAUAAAGGAGGCUGAUGCAACUUUUCAGAGAGUUGUAUCACGGGCUAAGACAGCCAUCUGCAACAAGUUUUGAACGAGAAAACUGAAAUAUCUUCUGCCUUUUGGCUUGUGAUCUUUUCAGAUGAAGUCAUCGAUAAGAAAGAGAGAACACGAGGGGAAAUCGGGCUUGUUGGCGGCUCAUGCUCUCACAAAAGGCACGUCAGCGUGGGCAGCAGCUGCGUGACAGCAGCACCAACUCUGUCCUACCUGAGGACCUUUAUGAGCAAUGAUAGUCACCAAAUAAUGCUGCACAGAGCAAGCAGUGAGGCUCCGUGCCUUCAUCCAUGGAAUGAGAGGCAUUAAGUGGUACCCAGCACUUGGGGAGGCCCCAGGCUUCCUCCUCUCACUGUCCUUCCCCUUCUUGAGCAAGGCAACACAGUAGUUGGGUUUUAUUUUCUUAGCAAGAAAUCUGAAAGCACCAGUAUGCUCACAAUGCAGAGCUUACCUUUGUAUUCUGUUUGUUUAGUAGGUCAUUACGGAGAGGACCGUAUCAAAAGGCUUUUGCAGGAAAGGACAGUUCCUCAAAAGAGGCUGUAAUAUACUUGUUUGUUUAAGUGGCACAGAGGAGUAGAAAGAAAACAGCGGUGAGUUAGAAGAGCAUAAAGAACAGAUGGGAAACGCUCUGAAUUUUGAAGGAAAGGUGUUCCUCGUGUCCUGCUGCUGUUCCAGAUGUCGCCACUUAUUCCCUAAUGGUGUUUUAGGUCUUGUGUUGCAGCUCUAAGCUGCCAUGCUGCCCUUCUCACAAAAGCCAAGAGCUGAUGUGCGGAGCGGCCGGGAUUCCUCCAUCGCACAUAUUGCCUGUUCAGAAGGAUGAGAGCCACGCCUGAGUUGUGAUCUUGUUAUUUUCUCAUAAUUCUGUGCCAAAACAGAGGUAAAUUCCCUACCAUCCCAACUAAAGGAGGACCAGGACUGUUUGAAGAGGAAAUGAGACCGCUGACCCAUGUUUCACAUCCAGCUGACCUGUUUCCAUCCCGAAGGCCACUCCCCAGUGUGUAAAAUCUGCCCAGCUCUGAGCCAUUCAGCCCCUGCUGUCCUGGUGAGCGUUUCGGCAUCGUUUGGGUCUCUCACUGAAGGACAGAUACUGCAGGCCUGCAGAUCUGUCCUGUGCUGGGAAGUGGCACCGUCAGUGCCGGGUAAGGAAACUCAUGCCGUCUCUGCCCACAUCAUCUCUGUGUACUUCAACCAGGAAAAGGAAUAUAAAUAUAGAUGAUGAUUUGAAAUGUAAAAUGCUGAGGAUGGUGACGAUGACGCAGCCGAGAGUUCCUGUCUGAGGUAGGAUCGAAAAUGUGACUUUAAAGCUAAUUUCUACUUCUGGCACAGGGGAUCAGGCAGCAGCUCUGUCCCUUUUGCUGUGACAGUGAUGUGCCUGUCUCUGAUGACACAGAAGCUCUCUGAAGUUGUGUGGCCACCUGGACCCGAAGUGCCCAUCACUGCUUGCCCAUAAAUCCCCCACCAUCUCCUCAUGCAGUCCACCCCCCCAUGCUCUCUGCACACCUCCUCUCUGGUGAGCAUCUGGCCACACAAAGCCAGCAGACCAAAACACUCUUGAGGAGUGGGACACUGUAAAGCCUUUUGCACUGUGCACUGCUUAUCCACUGCUAAUGUGGGUUUAGUCAUAGUGGAAUUGCAUGAACAAAAUGUUUUAAAGGGAAGCCAUGCAUCUUUUAAGCAGUAGCUGUGUUGCCAUGGCCCAACAUGGAGCCUCUCCCUUUGCAGUUUGCUCCAGCAGAUGGGGGGCUUCCCCCCCAGGCCUCACCCCACAAAGCGUCAGCUUUGGACCUGCUCCUUAUGGGACACAUGGGUUUAAAGGGGUUAGAAACACAGCAGGGAGCUGCCCAGACAUGGCCUAGUGUGGCCUAUGGCAACUUUCUGUGCCUCCGUAGACAAAAUCUGCUCCAAGCUACAGCAGUGGUUUCAGUUGCAACCCCGUAUGGGACACAGCAAUGGUGUGAGCCCAGCAAUAACAACUGAAGGAACAAAACCCACUUUCUGAUCUCUAUUUUUCCUCCAUCUUUGUGCCUUGCUGAGUUUCUCUGUUAUCACGGAGUCAGAAACAGAUUUAUAGCCUGUGAGUACCAUUAAUUUCCAUUUUGCACUUAGCUAUGAUCUCAAAGCAAACCACCCCAGCCCUUCAGCUUUUUGAUGCUCUUGAAAGCCAGGAAAGCUUUGAGCUUGAAGCACAAUUUCUCGGCAGCAUUCCCCAAACAAAGCCAUGCUGUGGUUGCACAGUGAACAUCCUAGAGGGGAACGAGAAGAUUUGGCACCUUGCCCUGAUCCAGACUACUAACCUAGUCUGGUUUUAUGAUGUUUGGGGUUAUAUUAAUGGGCCGUGUGUGCUUUCACUUGUAUUAUUUUGAUCCCUUAGCAAAGGCAUGAAAUGCCAGCUUAAUCACUUCAGAUUUAUUAUUGUGAUGGAGGAGAGAAAUAUCAGUUUCUUAUAGGUCUAUUAAUCUCAUUAAUUGUAUAAGCACGAUGGCUUUACCUGAAAGCUUUGCAUUGUGUUUCAUCUGUUUUUCAGGGAGAAACAGGAGAACAACUGGAUGCAAUACACUAUCCCGUUAAUGGAUCAACAGUCUAUGCAGGUUAAACCUUCUUUUCGUCCUUUGGAUCUCAGC